rnacentral:lncRNA from 1 species
UUCCGCAAAACCUUUUUGUUCUGCAAUAUCUGUAUUUCUUUUUUUGUUUUCUUUUACUGUAAGCAAGACAAAUGGUCGACGCACGCACCGCCGGCUGCAUUUAAAAAUGGCCAAAAAGGAAAUGCAGCACGAUUCUGUCCAAAUGGAUGCCAGGAUACUAGGACUCCAGGACUUUGGGACGCCCGGAGAUCGGAACAGCAGGAUAACAGAUGGUGAGGCGCUGGUUCUUAGUGGCAAGUCAUAAAUGUCAGGAGCUUCUUAGACCCGAAAUCAUCCGAGACACACAUGCGAGCAGCCAGUCGUGCACUGAAAAAAAUCCAGCCACUUCAAAUGAAUUCUGAUAAUUCGGAUGAAAGCGAGCGCUUCCUUUAAACAAGUAGUGGUGGCAACUUAAAACAACUUUGUUCGCGAGUGUAUUUAUUCGACUGACAAAUAACUCAAAAUGUGAUUGAUGGCGGCCCUGACACGCUGACACAUAUAAAUGCCUGCAAAUGGAGCACGAGACGCUGCCGCUGACGUGUCAUGAGGGUCCGGAAUUUCGAAUCCGGAAUCCAUGCAUGGCUACCAGUAGCAGCAUCAGCAGCAGGAUGAGCACCCCCACCCACCUCCGCCCCCCCAGAAGUCGUGCUCCUAAUCCACCCCGGCCACAGACCAAAAAAAAAAAGUAGAGAAAAAAACCAGAAACAGAACCUUUGUUUUGGCAAUAGGCGUGCGUGAUUUUUGCGGCCGCAUCAUUACUCAACGUUCUAAGUGCUUUUCUUGGCAAAUUCAGCUGCCAGUGGGUGGAGUGGGCGGCGUUUAACCCACGAUUAUUGCCAUUCAUGGCCCGAGACUAAAGUAUGUCAACAAACUUCUGAGGACGCCGGAACUGGCCCCAAGUUGGCCCCAAGUUGGUGGCAACUUACUGCGAGACAACUGUUUCAGUUCAGUUUCAGUUUCAGUUUCAGUGGCCAAAUGAAUGCAAUUUGUAGUCCAGGUCCACGUGAAAUUGGGACUCGGGGCUUUCAUUUACAUUAAGUAAUUACGUGGAAAACCCACGGCAAAUGGCCGAGCAAUAAAGAGGAAAAUGGGGGUUGGGGGCGAAAGUCGGUGUAAUGUUUAGAAUCUAUUCCAGCCCCUGUCCGCGCCGCAGGCCAACUUUUCAGACUUUUAUGCGGAAUGCUCCUGUUUAGUCCAAUUUGUUGGAAUCCACCAUUAAGUGGAGGUUGUUUUUUUUUUUAAAAGAGAACUAGUUUAAUUCAUAAUUGCCCGUUUCUAUUACUAAUUGGGCAACUGAAUGCCUCUUAUCUCGAAAAUGAUGAGCAUCCGGUUGUUUGAGUGGGAUGCUGCUGGAUGAUUGGACCGUGUAUUUAUUCCUUCGUUUAAAAUUAAUGCCCCAACAUGGUGGCUGCCUGCUUGGCUGAUAUGUGAGUGCUGUCCAUUAGGAUCGGUUGACAUAUGUCCCACCUUAUGUGUGCCCCAAGGGCCAGCAAACAGCGCUGCUCAUCUUCAUUCAGCUCAAGUUGUCUUGAAUGGCGAAGUUCGGAGAGUCCGGAGUGCGUAAUACAAAUUGCCGGCAAUUUUGAAACAUGACCACCCCAAUCCAGGACGGUAGCUACCGCUCUGGGAAAACCGCCCACCAGGAGCAAGCGUUCCAUGGCCGGAGCGAUGGCAUCACUUCAAAACUGAUGACACUGUCAAUUUGGAUGGGCGCCCGUUGCACGCAGGCAUUUCGGGUUGAUUGGGGUGGGUGGGGGCUGCCCCGCCCACUUUACGCCACAUGAUGAAUCUCUCACUCCACUCCACACUCCAAACCGCCCACACAUCCACAUUCACAUCGAGUGGGCCCAUCCCCCGUGGGUGAUGCAUUGCAAUGACAUUUUCAUGCUUUAUCUGCGGCUGGCCUCGCAUAAAUUCCUGUUUUCCACGCCCAGCAGGAUCGCAGGUUGAGUUUUUUAUGGGAGGGGGUUGGGGGUUUGGCUUCGCAAACUGCCGGAAAAGGUGGCCAAAUUUAUAUAAAAUAAUUUAUGGAAU